rnacentral:rRNA from 1 species
AUGGAACCCUCGCGCCUCUCCCCGGAGGCCGCGGGCAAGCCUCAAGGUUUGAUCGCCAAGGACCGCUGGUUCAGCAUCGCCGCCUACAUCUCAUAUGGGGAGGGUGGUAUUGCUGCUGCCCUGCGGAAACAUGUUGAGGAGGAAGCUCGACAUCUCAGCAGUGAAGAUCUUCUAAGGGUUAUGGAUCAGCUCUAUGAGCAAAUAUCUAGCUUAUUGCAAAGCAAUGAUGCUACUGAAAGUUUACCGGCUCUUCAUGCUAUCGAUGCUCUGAUUGAUUUACCAGUUGGAGGCGCUUCAAAGGUUUCUAAGCUGGCUAAUCUCUUAAAAAAUGUGUUUGAAGUCAAGCGUGAUCCUGAAAUCCUAGUUCCAGCUAGCACAGUGCUUGGUCAUUUGGCAAAUGCUGGGGGAGCAUUAACUGCACACGAAGUUGAGCGACAGAUUAUUACAACUGCGUUAGGGUGGCUUGGUGGGGAUGGAGUGGAAUAUCGUCGCUUUGCAGCUAUCCUUAUUCUCAAAGAGAUGGCUGAAAAUGCAUUCACAGUUUUCAAGAAUUAUAUCCCUGAGUUUGUUGAUGUUAUACUGAUAGCUUUGAGCGAUCCCAAACUGGUUAUUCAUGAACGAGCAGCUGAAGCCGUGCGUGCACUUGCAUGUUCCAACAUGGAGGCGGCGGCAGACUGUGGAGUGAAGAAGGUGAAACGGAAGGGAAUUGAUCUGAUCAGUGACCUCCCGGAUGAGACGCUCUGCACCAUCAUCUCCUUCCUCCGCACUGAUGAUGCCGUGCGCACUUCUGCCCUCUCUCGCCGCUGGCGUCACCUGUGGCGUUCCGCUCCGAUCAACCUUGACACUGCCCAUAUCCCUGGGUUUUGUCCCGAGCAAAUUGAGGUUGUAACCCAGAUCCUUUCUGAGCACCAGGGCCCCAUAUGCCGCCUUCACCUCAACAGCCUCUAUUUUGCUGAUCUUGAUGGCUGGUUCAGGUCCCCAGCCCUUGCUAAUCUUCAGGAGUUCGACAUCUAUGUCGCUAAAUUUGAUGAUGUGCUGCCGCUGUCUGUGCUCCGCUUCGCACCGACCCUCCGUGUGGCCCGCAUUGCCCACUGCAGCUUCUUUGAGGAUGAGGAGGUCCCAGUAUUUAACUUCCCACGCCUGAAAACACUGGUUCUGGGCUUCCUUUCUGUAUAUGAAGGCACCCUCCACAGCAUUCUCUCUGGCUGCCCUGUCCUCGAGGGCCUGCUGCUUGACAGUUGUGAUGGCUUCAGGCGCUUGGUGAUCAACUCCCCAACACUUAGGAGCGUUGGUGUAUGUGAUGAUACGGGCAGCCUGAGUGAAAUAGUCAUCGAGAGCCCCUUGCCUGGAAAGAUUCGUCAGAUCAGAUUUAUUUCGCAGAACCAGCCCACUGCGCAGAGCACCAGUCUUCCGGGUAAUUAG